GGGGAUACCCCGGCCUCUGCAUCAGCAUGAUGCAUACGGCCAUCUUAUUAAUAAAAUAAAGUAGUAUCAAACUGUUUCCAAAGGUCCUGAAAGGUGAAAAAAAUCAAAACAAGCUCACACAGAGCCCAGAUAAGCUAGAUACAUCAAACUAGCCACAUCAUAAAGCCACAACCGGCAGGGCAUAUUAGAUAGCAAAACUAAAUGGCUAUCCUAUUACAUGACCGCCAUCCAAACCGGUUGAAGAUAUCCCGAGCUACCAUCUCCCAACGGACAGACCCAGUAACCAAAUGCUCCCUGGCCUCCAUCGGGGUGAGUAGCGACCACGAACGAAUCAAAGCCGUAGUCCGGAAUAAAACCUGCAAAAAAUGUAUACAUGAUAUUCUGUUAAAGAUCAAAUCGUUUCUGCAGUUCCAGAUGGCCCACAACAAAGCACAAACCCCCACCCGAAUACGUUUCCUUAAGUUGGGCUCAAUCCUAUUAAGCCAUGUCCCAAAAAGAGAAUUAAUAGUAGUCGGUGGUUUGAUGUUAAACGCAAUGUGGACCGUCUGCCAUAAAACCUUUGCUAGCGGGCAAUCAAAAAAAAGAUGUUUAAUAGACUCUUCCCGAUCACAGAAACUACACCUAGUAGGUCCUGUCCAAUUGCGCUUCUUCAAGUUAUCCUUAGUUAAAAUAACUUGUUUAUGAACAAACCACAUAAACACUUUUAUUUUCAAAGGAACCUUGACAUCCCAAAUAUAUUUGGACGUAGGAAUGGAGCUUGAAUUAAUAACAUCAAUAUACAUUGAUUUAACCGUGAAGGCUCCAGACUUAGUCAGCUUCCAGCACAAUUCAUCAGGUUGUUGGGACAGCUGAACAUCCAUCAGCUUUCUAACUAGAUGGAGCCAUUGUUCCCAACGAUUGCCCGCUAGCACUCGUCUGAAUUGAAUAUUAAGGGGGAUAGAUUGAAAGACCGAAGCAAUAACCACCUCCUUUCGUUGAACAAUACGAUACAAAGAGGGGUAUUGGGUGGCCAGUGGUGUGUCACCUAGCCAAGUAUCCUCCCAGAAACGCGUACUCAAGCCGUUUCCUACAGCAAACUUUGUCCUAUUAACGAAAACCUGCUUGACCUUCAUGAGCCCCUUCCAGAAAGGCGAGUCAGUAGGCCUUACAGAGACUUGUGUCAAAGUUUUUGACUGGAGAUACUUGCCACGAAGAAUCUGUGCCCACACAGCAUCCGUCUCCGACGAGAGCUUCCACAGCCACUUGCUAAGAAGGCAUUUAUUCUUGAUUUCGAGAUUCUCAAUACCUAGACCCCCUUGGUCUUUCGGUCUACAAAUAAUGUCCCACUUAGCAAGUCUGUAUUUUCUUUUCAGCUCAUCACCCUGCCAGAAGAACCGCGAUCUAUAGAAGUCCAGUCUCUUCCUGACUCCAACUGGUACCUCAAAGAACGAAAGGAGAAACUUCGGCAAACUUGUGAGCACCGAAUUAAUUAGAAUUAACCGGCCUCCAUAAGAUAAAAGCUUGCCCUUCCAGCAACUUAGUUUCUUCUCAAAGCGGUCUUCAAUGAACUUCCAUUCUUUGUUCGUUAGCCUACGGUGGUGGAUAGGAAUCCCUAAGUACGAGAAAGGUAACUGUCCCACCUCACACCCAAACAAUUGUCGGUAGGCUUCCUGCUCAUCUUUGGCCCUACCAAAGCAGAACAACUCACUCUUAUGAAAGUUGAUCUUCAAUCCUGUCAAUUGUUCGAAAAGGCAUAAAACCAGCUUCAUAUUCCUAGCCUUAACCACGUCAUGCUCCAUAAAGAUGAUCGUAUCAUCAGCGUAUUGUAGGAUAGAAAGGCCUCCAUCUACCAGAUGAGGCACUAAUCCACCUACUUGACCAUUUUCCUUAGCCCGUCCUAUCAGAAUUGCCAACAUAUCUACCACAAUGUUAAACAAGAGAGGGGACAUUGGGUCUCCUUGUCGUAGGCCUUUGUGAGUCUGAAAGUAACGACCUAUAUCAUCAUUAACUUUAAUUCCCACACUACCUUUUUGCGUAAAUGAUUGCACCUGCCUUCGCCAGGCUUCAUCAAAACCCUUUCAUUCGGAAAGAUUGUUGGAGAAAUGGCCAUUUUAUCUUAUCAUACGCUUUCUCGAAAUCCACUUUAAAAAUCACUCCAUCCAAUUUUUUAGAGUGGAUUUCAUGGAGCGUUUCAUGCAGAACUACCACCCCUUCUAGAAUGUUUAUGUCUGGCAUGAACGCGGUUUGGGAUUGAUGCACCACAGAAUGCGCAAUCUGUGUGAGCCUGUUGGUCCUGACCUUUGUGAAUAUUUUGAAACUAACAUUUAGGAGACAGAUCGGCCUGAAUUGCUCAAUUCUGACCGCAUCCGUCUUCUUAGGUAGUAAUGUGAUAGUCCCAAAAUUCAGGUGGAAUAAUUGAAGCUUACCAGAGAAAAGAUCAUGAAACAUAGGUAUUAAAUCCCCCUUAAUAAUGUGCCAGCACUUUUUAUAAAACUCGGCCGGGAACCCAUCCGGUCCAGGAGCCUUAUUGUUUUUCAUUUGAGCAAUAGCCUCAAAAACCUCCUUCUCCGAGAACGGAGCAAGCAGAAUGUCAUUAUCAGCAGCCGAAAGCUGAGCCACAUCCUCAGUCAUGGACUCAUCAAGUGACACCGUAUUCUCCUCCGGUGGACCAAAUAGCUGCUUAUAAUAUUCAGUGAUAUACGUUUUCAGAUUAUCCUGACCUAAAAUUGUACCCUCGUCCUGCUCAAGCUGAAAGAUUCGCUUCUUUCUGUGCUUGCCAUUAGCGAUUAAAUGGAAGAACUGAGUAUUUGCGUCCCCCUGGACCACUCUACGAACCUUAGCACGUAGAGCCCACUUCAGUUCUUCUUCACGCAAAAGUUCUUUCAACCGCUUUUCCGCCUCAAGUUUAACAUGAAGUUCUGCGGGGGCCAACAAGUUAGACUCGGCUUUUACGUCCAAGUCAUGGACUAGAGAAAGGAGUCUAUCCUUUUCAAUCUUAUACGCACCACUAAGAUGCUUAGCCCAACCCCUCAAGAAACUUCUCAAAUUCCUAAUCUUAUUUUGCCAGCGCUCAAUGGGUGUUUUACCGCGGACCUCUUUAGCCCAUUCCCUGGCAAUCAAGUCGAAAAACCCCUCGCGCUCGAACCAUGACGUCUCAAACGAGAAGGUGUUCUUAUUCCCCACGUGGUUCGGCUCCCCUGAGUCCACGAACAAUGGGGUAUGAUCAGAUAUUCCCCUCGAAAGGGCUUGCACCGUGACCCUCGGGAAUUUUUGUUCCCACUCAACGCUUGCAAGGACCCGAUCAAGUUUUUCGUAAGUAGGGUUUGGCAGAGCGUUGGCCCAUGUAAACUUUCUACCCGAGAGUUCUAUCUCCCUCAGAUCCAAGCUUUCGAUAAUGGUGUUGAACAUGAAGGACCAUCUACCAUCAAAGUUAUCAUUGUUCUUCUCCUCCCGCCUCCGGAUGAUAUUGAAAUCGCCUCCAACUAAAAUCGGUAGUUGUUCUGACCCACAAAUCCGCACUAGGUCAGCUAGAAACUCCGCUUUGAACUCAGGCUGCGCGGCACCAUAUACCGCCACCAAAGCCCAAUCAAAGCCAUCAAUCUUAGACCUAACUCGAAAUUUUACGGCGAAGUCACCCAUGACAACACUACGGACUUCCAGAGAGUCGCAUCUCACACCUAGUAAGAUGCCCCCCGAUCUUCCUCGCGGAGGUAAGCAGUGCCAAUCGAAAUCAAUACCACCAACUAGUGAGGAGAGAAACUGAGGUGCAAAAUUGUCUCUACCCGUCUCCGAUAGAGCAACAAAAUCUAACUUCUGCUCAAUAGAAGUCUCAGCCAGGAAUCUUCUUUUAGCCAAGUCCUUAAGACCUCUGCUAUUCCAAAAAAUUCCUCUCAUAUCUCAUCAUGGAAUUUUUUGGUAGUUCGGAUCCUAGCACUCCUACGGACCGCGGAAUCGGGAUAAAUCUUCCGUUUCCACUUACGCUUAGGUUUAUUAAGCUCGAGUCCCCGUUCCUCAAACCCGGGUUCAAAAAUAUUGCUAGCGUCAUUCUGAAGGGGCACAUCCUCUUCGUCAACCUCCUGGUUAGAGGAUGCGAGAUCCUCACACAGGCUAUCAAGCACUCUAACUCCUAACGCAUUUAUCUCAUCAUCAUUCAUAGGUUUAAGUGCUGCAAGAUUACGAAUAGUCUCUAAAGCCCGCUCUGCUUCCAGGUCUAAAAUAUCAUUCACCGAUUUGGUAAUUUCACUAUCUGUGGCACCUAGUGAAACUCCUAAUUGGUUUGCAUUAUUUAUAAUGUCCUCAUUAGAAAAAUGCAAUAACGAAUUAGACAAGUCAACGGACAUACCCGAUGAACACGCAGCCUCCUGAAGCUUGGCCGCCCUCAUAGCGCACCGCUGCUGCAUAUCAUCAACCUCCGGGACGUCGAGGAUGCGAGCACUCAUCCGUCUGCCCCCGGAAGUAGGGUCAGUGAUCCCGCCAUACGCGAUCACCUCCUCUCUGGUGUAACCUGGCACCAAAGCUCCCAGUGGUGCGGAGGUCACAGGCGGAGGCAACUGCGGGCUCCCGAACCCAUCUGACGAGGGCCCCGCCGCAGGCAAUGGGGAGGAGUGAACGACCGGGGCCACCUGCCCGCCGUCUCCUCCCGCCCCAACCUGCGGCGCAGGCGAAGAAGCCGUCGGAAGGGUGGUCCGCCUGACCACCCGAGCGGAAGGAGGAGAUCGGGCCACCUGCCCUGCCGUCCCCCCUCCCGCGGCCACAGAGGCAGUGGUAGCCACCACCGUCACGGAGGACGUCGAGGCCUCCUGCCUCGAGGUCCCUCCAGCCGCCGGAACUGUCCCCCUAGGGGUCGAAGCCACCGGUGAGGCCUGCAACGUCCUCGGGACGGGGGUAGAAAGGACUCCUGGUCCCGACCCCCCUCCCCCACGACUCCUCGGUCCCGUGCUCGGUGACACCGAAGUCAGUCCCGCCGCAGUCAACAGUCCAACCGGGCUAUCACCGUGCCUGCAGCCUGCACCAACCUCCCUCUCAAACUCCAGUGAAGGAAGCAUGUGCUCAGUAACAUCGUCGGACUCCACCCUGUCACUCCAGAGCCUGGGAGGUGCCGAGGCUGGCUCAAAAGAACCGAACCGGACCGUAGCCAUAGGAACCGCCGGUGAAUCAGUGUGCUCAGCCUCCGGUCCCGUCCCGGCCGACUGAGGGAGUGAUCCGUUGGGUCCCUCACGCAUGGUCUCAUCUGAUGGGCCCCCCUUAGACCCAGCACCUCCAUCCCGGUCGUGCAUAUCAGCAUCAUUACCGUUAACUGCAUCGUCAAAUAAGUCUGUGUCCUCAAACUCAAUAUCUAGAGGGAAGACCUCACCCUUAUAUGUCCAGUUUACCUUGUCGGGCACAUACUCAAUAUCCAAAAUGCUAACAAGAAUCCGUGCAACCCCAUUGGCACGAGUGAAAGCCAUAUCCACUUUUUCAGUUUUUCCAACUAGGAUACCCAAACUGGCCACAACACGAGCAUCCUGCAGAGGCUUUGAAGGAGCCCCCAAAAACCUCAGCCAUACCUGUGUUAGUGGUUUUCCUUUAGGCUCAACCUGUUUCCACUCGUUAAACUCCAGAAUACACUUAGUACCAGGAACUUUACACAAGCCAAAACUUAACAAUUUCUGCAGGUCCUCAACUGACGGGAAAUCAACCUUAAACACUCUCUCCUCAAUAGGUACGAGCUCCCAAACAAAGUCACCCGGAGCUAACUCCUGCAACCUGCUCACAAUCUGUGCCUCAGUCACCGGUCCCUGUGUCGCUCUGACAAUCCCAGUAGUCGUAACCUGGUUCUCCUCCGGGACCUCUCUCGCCUCCGGAGACUCAAAAAACAUGAGCUCAGCACAGUAGACUCCAUAAAUGUUUAGAGUCGGAGGAACGUCACGCAAAAUCGGGCACUCACCCGACUCAUGGGCAAGUUUGCCACACGACUCACACAACUGGGCCACACACUCAGCAAUAAAGUGACCUUUGUCCCCACAUCGAUAGCAAAUCAUCCUCUCCUUCUUACGAGCGUACUUGGAUGCCCUCUCUGCAUCAGAUCUGUCAGUGGCCUCAUCCACCGUCCCAGCCUCAGAAACAUCAACAUUGGCCAACUCCUUCACCACCUCCAUCGCCUGUGGAGGUAGCUCUGAGGAAAGCUGAGUCUCAACCGUAUCAUCUGCAAGAAUAGUCCCCCGAGGUUGUUGGCGGCGAAAUCUCCCGCGACCCCAGCCUCGACCCCCUCAGUUACCACGAAAACCACCUCUCUGACGAUUGUCCGGGCCGGAGGCUCCCUCAACAAAACCACCAGCCGGCCCGAGAAAAGGUCUCUCGGCCGACCCGUCACUCUGCCAAGCGUAACCACGCCCUCCUCCCGUGGACGAGGAGCCGCGGUGAUGUCCCUCGCCGUAUGCAUCGUAUCCGUCGUCUCCCCACUGGUCUCGGGGAGGAGCGUUAGGCUGAGAGGAUCUGAUCUGCACCGGCCUGGCAACAUAAUGCGGAGGUGGUUUUCCCGUAGUGGCCGGCUCAGCUCGAAUCUGUCUCUGAUCAUCGCCGCGGCCAGCAUGACCAACACCAGCAGCACCCGGCGCGGGGGGCCUCGCCCCGCCUCGUCCCGCAACCUGCGAAACCAGGGGUGGCGCGGGUCUCCCGAUUCCCCGACCAGCCGAAGGUGCCGCGACCGGAGCCGAGAUCGGAGCCGGCGGCCUCGUGCCAUUCUUCCCCAGAGCCGGCAGCUGCGUUUGCCCCGGCAGGUACGCACCCCCUGCUGGAAGUCCACGUCCCGCGGCACCGGCGGCGCCGCCGCCUCCAGCCGGCGGCCUUUGCCCGAUCUGCACGGGACCCCCCCGCCCGGUGUUCGCAGCCGGUGGUGGAGGCGCCCCACCCCGACCUGCAGCUCCUUGCAUGGGCCUUUUCGCCGGCGGUGGAACCUCCCCUCGACCUGCCAUGGCCGCCUCGGUCCGGUUGCGUCACGUGCGUCGAACCCCGCAGGACGGGAAACCCCUCGUGCCCUGCUUGCGAACCCUACCCCGCAGCAGUCUAUCACAAGGCAGAUGACGAUCUACGUCCGUGCAUGCACCAUCGUCGGGCCGAAUAGGCUGGAUGGAUUCCUCCUGGGCCACAUACCCAUUGGAAGCAUCACCAUCUAAGCCUGCCGCUACACCCCCAUGAUGGGCCUCAUGCCCAUGCAUGGUCCGCGGCCCGGCCCACAGCAAAUCGGCACACUCAGCUCCGAUCAGCGAAUUCAAACGCUCUGAUCUGGCCGCCCUGAUCCCGUCCGCCGCCAUGGUCACCGGCGGCGGAGGCGCUGGAUCUGGCCGCCCUCCCUUCUUCUUCUUCUUCCGAGUAACCACGUUCCAAUCAUCUUGCGGAAAAAAAUCGGACAAAGUUAAAGGCUGAACACGUACCUUAGGCAAAGGUCCUUUCCAUGGACGGAUCGCCGUCGCCGCCGUUCUCCGGUGAAUAAUCCGGCGAACCACUUCUAGUCGAUCAGUAGGCCGCAGACCUAGCCGUUCCGGAUCCUUGGCAGGCACGAUUUCAUCCACCAACGCCGC
rnacentral:lncRNA from 1 species